UUCUCGAGUCAUGCUGUUUUCGGAAACGUAGGGAUGCGUUUUAAUCCCUAUGCGCCACCCGAGGGUCGGCCCUCACCUGCGAGUCGGCUGACCGUGAACGACCCUCACUUGCUGUGCACCGGAAGGGCUUGGUCUUCUUGGCCUCUGCUUCCCGGAAGUGGUUUCCCUCCACCUCCUCAGGAGGGCCGGCCUUCCCUAAGGGCGGAGUCUAGGGCUUCUUUGGGACUGAAAAUGCAUUAGCUUUUGGAAGUCCAGCUUUGAUUUUCCCCUAAGCAUUGUUAGGCCAAAGGCCGGACUGCGGCUCUGGGCACGGUUCACAUCCUCGGCCGCCUUUGGCUUUGUGACCUUGGGCCGGUUAUAUAAGCUCUCUGAGCUUCCCAGGUGACUUCUCUGCAAAGUGGGGUGGUAACGUCCGAGUUGGUGCUAAAUCGUAAAGUUCAUGCUGCGAACCGGGCCCUCAACAGAUCAGCCUCUGUUUGGUCUGGUGGCAGGCACCACAGGCUCCUGAGAGACGUGAGAAGCAGCUUUGUAUGGGAGCCACCUCUGCUCGCGUUUCCACCCAGAACCAAAGGACUGACCAUUCUUUCAAUCCCUAAGCAGUGUCUUUUCUAUCUAACCCUAAUAACCAAGCCUGGAGGAAUUGCAGACUUUCUGGUUGAAGGUUUAACAGGUCUCCUUGUUUAAGGAUAGAGUAAGUCUCACUGAAGCUACAGAGGAGAAUCUGGAAAAUGCAAAUGUUACUACCUUAACCGAAAGAGGGAGGAGGGGGCGCUUUCCUAAAUGGCCUUUACCUUGGACCUUUUCUUUCUCCUGGCAUUUGGGCUGCCAAGGAUCUUGCUUCUGCCCCACCACACACUGGAAGCAAGAGCUCUUGACGUGAUGACUAAGGAAAAGAAUUUGGUUUUCAUUCUGGUAAAUAGACUGGAGACAGCUGAUUCUGAAGCCACCUUAAGGCCUAAGCAUAGCACAACUGCAUUCAGGAUUCUAUGAAUUCUUUCCUACCAUUGGAACUUAGGGAAGGGGAGAGGAAGUGUGCAUCUAGGAAAUGUGGAAGGACAAGCUCUUCGUUCUUUCAUCCUUCCGCUGCCUUCUAACUCUGUGGUCGAGUGUGGUCUUCCCAGGAGAGCAUCUUCCAGGAAACUUAUUAGAAAGGAAGAACCCCAGGCCUCAUUUCACAUCUGAAGCAGAGUCUGCCUUGUAGCCGACUCCCCAGCCAUUGCUAGGCAUGCUAAAGUUGACGAGGCCCUGGUUUAACUCCUGGGGUGGUCUGGUUUAAAGUAAUGAGAUGGCAUCAAAGAUGAUGGAAGGACAGAGUCCACAGAGCCAGAAUUUGGGGCAGUGGAGGCAGAGCACCUAUUUCCUGCAUUUGGGUGCUGCCAGCAGGUUGAUUCAGAAGAUGGGUGAAAAAUUUGUUCCUGGGGUAGCAGGAGGAGCACCACGACUUUGGAAUCGUUUGCUUAAAAGAAGGAUGAGCUCGGCUGUUCAUACCAUACAUCCCGGAGGUGUUCAGCAAGGUGAGGCUCCUCUGACCAAGAAGCCGGCUGCCCAGAUACGCUAAGCACGGCUCCCUCGCAUAUUCCGGAUGGUGGAAGUGAAGGUGCUGGUGGAUGAUAUAUCAGAAGCGACAUCCCGGAAGAGAGAUCACCUCUGACUGGAGCCCCAUUCCUGGCUGAACCGUACUGGGAAGAGCAGACCUGAGCAAGAUCUCUGAGACUUGGUCUCUGGCUUGAAGGUUGGACCACGGUGAGACUGAGAAGGCGCUUCCUGGAGGCCCCCGUUGACUCUGAAAGUUUCCAGUCUGGAAGAAAGAGAGCAGGUCGCUGCAAGCACUGAGGAUGAAAAGCCUCUGGAAACAAGGAACCGCCAGGCUUGGUCAGUGUCCCACCUGGAGAACAAGACCAGAAAAGAGCAGUCAUUCUCUGCUGUCCAAUGGAGACUGCUGACAGGAUCCACGCCUUGGGUACCAGAUUCUGAGAAUGCUCAAGAACCCGCGGCUCCUUCUGCAUCCUUGGAUUCAACCAACUGCAGAUCUUAAACACAGUACACCAUCUGCGGUUGGCUAAAAUUUGCAGAUACAGAAGCUGCUGAUAUGGAGGGCUGACUGUUCCAGAGAUCAGAUAAGUCUUACAGUUUGAUAUCAAUUCAAAGCUAUUCUUAAAUACAGUAAUAUGGUUCUAUUAACAUAUAACAGAAUUUAAAUUUAAUAUUGAAUAUUCAAUAAAUAAAAUGGAACUUAAAACGUGACAGUAAUAAAACAUUAAUGGUAAUGCUAUUUCAGCUACAGAAUGAAAUUCAGCGGCUUGGAAGAAAAUUCUGGAGGAAAAGAGCUCCAACAGCAGUAUCCUUAGGGCAUGUGAGCUGAUACCCUGAGUCACAUAGCACUUUAGAAAAAUGAGAGGACUUUUUAAAACUGAACUCUUGAAACAAUCUAUUUUGCUCAGAUUUUCUGUCUUAAAGUGAAUUAGACAUGAUAACUAUAAAAAUGCCUGUCAAAUCAUUCUAAAAGUACUAUUUCCAUUAUAUAACUAUUCUAGGAGAACAGGAAAUAAAGGAACAAAAGGAAUUUACCACAGAGAAAAAAAUUAUCUAUUCUAAAGUUGAAUGUUCAUGGCAGUAUUAAUUAUAAGAAGGAACUUCUGAAGGCAAUUAGUGUUUGGGUAGCAUGGAAUCAUGACACAUAGUAUGAUAUUAUGGCGUGUCCAUCAAGGCAACCAUUUAAAGAUGUUAUAAAGAUACCAAUGUAGAAUGCAAAUAUAACAUUAUAUGAAAAUGUGUUUAUGUUUUACACACACACAUGUAGAAGAGUGAGAAACAGAGGCAGAGCAAACUUCUGAAAGAAAAUCAACUAAAAUGCUAUUUUCAUGAAAUGAUACUGAGAAGAUAAUUGGCUUCUGCAUUUCUUUUCCAAAUAAUGUGUCUGUCUU